rnacentral:rRNA from 1 species
GCAAGUCGAGCGAGAAAGCUCCCUUCGGGGGGUUAGUAAAGCGGCGCACGGGUGAGUAACGCGUGGGUAAUCUACCCUGAGGUUCGGAACAACCAGAGGAAACUCUGGCUAAUUCCGGAUAAGACCACGUCACUGCGGUGAUGUGGGAAAAGCAGGGGACCUCUUCGGAGGCCUCGUGCCACAGGAUGAGCCCGCGUUCCAUCAGGCAGUUGGUGGGGUAACGGCCUACCAAACCUAAGACGGAUAGCUGGUCUGAGAGGAUGAUC